AGUGAACGCUGGCGGUAGGCCUAACACAUGCAAGUCGAACGGCAGCACAGGAGAGCUUGCUCUCUGGGUGGCGAGUGGCGGACGGGUGAGGAAUACAUCGGAAUCUACCUUUUCGUGGGGGAUAACGUAGGGAAACUUACGCUAAUACCGCAUACGACCUACGGGUGAAAGUGGGGGACCGCAAGGCCUCACGCGAUUAGAUGAGCCGAUGUCCGAUUAACUAGUCGGCGGGGUAAUGGCCCACCAAGGCGACGAUCGGUAGCUGGUCUGAGAGGAUGAUCAGCCACACUGGAACUGAGACACGGUCCAGACUCCUACGGGAGGCAGCAGUGGGGAAUAUUGGACAAUGGGCGCAAGCCUGAUCCAGCCAUACCGCGUGGGUGAAGAAGGCCUUCGGGUUGUAAAGCCCUUUUGUUGGGAAAGAAAUCCUGUCGAUUAAUACUCGGUGGGGAUGACGGUACCCAAAGAAUAAGCACCGGCUAACUUCGUGCCAGCAGCCGCAGUAACAC
rnacentral:rRNA from 1 species